GACGAACGCUGGCGGCGUGCCUAAUACAUGCAAGUAGAACGCACAGUUUAUACCGUAGCUUGCUACACCAUACACUGUGAGUUGCGAACGGGUGAGUAACGCGUAGGUAACCUGCCUGGUAGCGGGGGAUAACUAUUGGAAACGAUAGCUAAUACCGCAUAAUAUUGAAUAUUGCAUGAUAAUUGAUUGAAAGAUGCUAUUGCAUCACUACCAGAUGGACCUGCGUUGUAUUAGCUAGUAGGUGAGGUAACGGCUCACCUAGGCGACGAUACAUAGCCGACCUGAGAGGGUGAUCGGCCACACUGGGACUGAGACACGGCCCAGACUCCUACGGGAGGCAGCAGUAGGGAAUCUUCGGCAAUGGACGAAAGUCUGACCGAGCAACGCCGCGUGAGUGAAGAAGGUUUUCGGAUCGUAAAGCUCUGUUGUAAGAGAAGAACGGGUGUGAGAGUGGAAAGUUCACACUGUGACGGUAUCUUACCAGAAAGGGACGGCUAACUACGUG
rnacentral:rRNA from 1 species